rnacentral:rRNA from 1 species
UACGUAUGGGGCAAGCGUUAUCCGGAAUUAUUGGGCGUAAAGAGUGCGUAGGUGGUUACCUAAGCGCAAGGUUUAAUCUUGAGGCUCAACCUCAUUCUGCCUUGCGAACUGGGCUACUUGAGUGCAGGAGGGGAAGGCGGAAUUCCCGGUGUAGCGGUGGAAUGCGCAGAUAUCGGGAAGAACACCGAUGGCGAAGGCGGCUUUCUGGCCUGCACCUGACGCUGAGAGGCGAAAGCUAGGGUAGCAAACGGGCUUAGAUACCCCCGUAGUCCCUGA